CCCGUCUCCCCAGCACAGACUCGGGAGCAACUCCAGAGCCUCCUGCAAGAUGCUGGUGGUUCUACUGACAGCGGCCCUGCUGGCCCUGAGCUCAGCUGAGAGCUCAUACAAAGAGUCUGAGGACCAACACCAGGGCUUUGGUCUGGCACACGAGACUCCAGUGGAUGAUGAUGUUAAAGAUGAAGGCGAUGGUGAAGAUGAAGGCGAUGGUGAAGAUGAGGGUGAUAGCAAAGAAGAGGGUGAUGAUAAACCUGAGAAACCACCCAAGCCACAUCCUCGUCCUCCUCCUCCUGGACCACGUCCAAGACCACCCCAACCCGGAGGCCAGCCUAAGCCUCCUCCACCUCCUCCUCCUGGACAACAACAUGGACCACCCAAACAAGGAGACGAGAAGCAGAAUCGCACUACUCGUUCUUUAAAUCAGCAAGGUCCACCCCCACAAGGAGGUCAGCAGCAGCCCAGUGGUCCUUCUCCUCCUGGAAACCAGCAGGGCCCACCCCAACAAGGAGGCCCACAGAAUCGCCCCCCUCGUUCCUUACAUCAGCAAGGUCCAGCCCCACAAGGAGGUCAGCAGCAGCCCAGUGGUCCUUCUCCUCCUGGAAACCAACAGGGCCCACCUCAACAAGGACGCCCACAGAAUCGCCCUCCUCGCUCCUUAAAUCAGCAAGGUCCAGCCCCACAAGGAGGUCAGCAGCAGCCCAGUGGUCCUCCUCCUCCUGGAAACCAGCAGGGCCCACCCCAACAAGGAGGCCCACAGAAUCGCCCUCCUCGCUCCUUAAAUCAGCAAGGUCCAGGCCCACAAGGAGGUCAGCAGCAGCCCAGUGGUCCUUCUCCUCCUGGAAACCAGCAGGGCCCACCCCAACAAGGAGGCCCACAGAAUCGCCCUCCUCGUUCUUUAUAUAAGCAAGGUCCACCCCCACAAGGAGGUCAGCAGCGGCCCAAUCGUCCUCCUCGUCCUGGAAACCAGCAAGGUCCACCCCAGGAAGAAGGUAAGCAGCUGUAUUUUCCUCAUGACAUCCUGGAAGGCCCCACUGUGCGUCCCAACUUCCCUCAAAGGAUAAACCACCCAGAAUACCCCAGGGAUUGAGCUCAAUGAUCUCAGUGCAGUUCCAGAGUGAAUGAGAAGGUGACGUCCUUCAGAACAUGACCCCGUGGGAAGAACGCAG
rnacentral:lncRNA from 1 species